UUAUCAAUUGAAAUUGGAAUAUAAGCUGAACAUCUCAUGUCUUCGCUUUGUUAUUGUAACAAGUGAUCAUCAGAAGCAAGCCGUGUGAAAAUGAAAAUCAUAGUUUUCGUGAUUGUUUCGAUAGCAGUAUGCAUCGAAAGUGCUGUCAUCAAGGAACACAGAAAUCUUAAUGACGACGAUCAACAUGUGAUAGAUGUGGCCAGUUUACAACUCGACCAGGAUCCCGAACAAUCAUUACAUACAAAGCGGGAAGUUAUGUUCCGUCCACUGUUCGUGUACCGUGAACAGCAGAUCAAGAAACAACACCUGAAAGAACAGCGAGAGCAACGUGAACAACAGAUGCAUCAGCAUUCACAAACAACUACAACGCAUCGUCCAAAGAAGCUUCACUACGAGCCUUACGAUUACAUGGGUUAGUCAUAGAAAAUGAAAUAUUUAUUUUUAUACUUAACGUAGAAAUAAUAUAAAUAUUAUGUUGUGUUUGUUAAAGAUGAAGAAUUUAAAAUAGCGCAUAAUUUUGUCCAUAAUUACACUUUAUCCCUAUGAAUAAGGUUAAAUAAAAUAAUCGAACGUUGCACGUAGGAGCAUCACGUAGGAGCACAUGUUAGCUGAUUACUAAUAAUGCAUUGCCGAAAGCAUCUAUAGCACAUAAAUAUACCUGUACCAUUAUGCACCAUGCA